rnacentral:rRNA from 1 species
CAGCCGCCGCGGUAAUACGUAGGGUGCGAGCGUUAAUCGGAUUUACUCGGCGUAAAGCGUGCGCAGGCGGCCCGUUAAGACAGGUGUGAAAUCCCUGGGCUCAACCUAGGAAUUGCGCUUGUGACUGGCAGGCUCGAGUACGGUAGAGGGGGGUGGAAUUCCUGGUGUAGCAGUGAAAUGCGUAGAGAUCAGGAGGAACACCGAUGGCGAAGGCAGCCCCCUGGGCCUGUACUGACGCUCAUGCACGAAAGCGUGGGGAGCAAACAGGAUUAGAUACCCUGGUAGUCCACGCCCUAAACGAUGGGUACUAGCCGUUUGGUGCGCGAUAGCGCUGAGUGGCGAAGCUAACGCGUGAAGUACCCCGCCUGGGGAGUACGGCCGCAAGGUUGAAACUUAAAGGAAUUGGCGGG